AGCUCCUUUUUGCAAAAAACCCCCCGACGGAGAGGAGAGACGGCACGGCUGUCGGCUCGUUCGUCGACGGCACUCGCGCGUGGUCCGAGGCGAGACGACGAGUUGCCGAGGCGUUGUAGGAGUUGCUGCAGUUCGGCGACGGGGGCAUGGAUCCGCUGUGCGCGCGCUCGUGGGAAUUCGUUUUGCCGCCAAAAAUCAGGCGGCGCGAGAUUUGCUCAAGGCGGAUGCAACUCGGGAGCGGCAGGCUGCGGCGGCGCACUCGCGGAAGGCCCAGGGGGCAUCUGCAUCGACGGACUCACGGCGCCAUCAGGGGGAUCUACGGCGGUGGCCAAGAAGCAGACGAGCUCAAGCAGAGUGGCGGAGCAAAGGAUUUCGGCGCCGCCGCGGACUGCAGGUGGAUGAGGCUCGGAUGCGCAAGGCAGCUGCGGCGCAAUCGCGGAAGGAUGCGGCAGCGCCGAUGCGGAAGGCACAGGGAAGAGCUCGAAUGGAUGAUGUCUGAUUCUCCCCACCAGUGCGGAAGGUGCCCUGUGUCCUUUUGCCGUCUGAUUUCAUUUGAAUUUGAUUGAUUUCUCGUGGUGGUGCCAAUGAUUUAUGCAGAUAGUACAUGAAUUUUGGCUGUGGAUUUUUGCAAUCAUGGAGUUGCAGGAUAGCUUUCCUAUUUCCCAUUUGAUUUCGUGAAGCAGCACACUAGGGUGUGGAAAUCCAAGCCUGUGUCGAUAAACUAGAAGAAAUUGAUCCAACGGAGGUAUAUACAUUUGAUGACUUUAUUGCCAAGGAUGAAAAACUAGAAGCCUUGAUUGGCGACAAAUUGAAGGCCAAUAUUAUACAUGCUUGUUGUAAGAGUCAUGUGAAUUAUUUGAAUGUAUUGUGCAUUUUCUCAUGUAUGUAACAAAAUAGCUACAAAGAUCAAGUAUGCACUAGAUCACCAUGAGUUUGUGUGUUAAACGAAGAAUUAAUCAUUCUGCAGCCAGCUAAAUAGACGCUCGUUGUACAA